AAUCAACGCUGGCGGCGUGCCUAACACAUGCAAGUCGAACGAGAAAGUGGAGCAAUCCAUGAGUAAAGUGGCGACCGGGUGAGUAACACGUGACUAACCUACCCUGAAGUGGGGAAUAACCUCGGGAAACCGGGGCUAAUACCGCAUAACAUCGCGAGCUGUAAACGCUUGUGAUCAAAGGAGCAAUUCGCUUUAGGAGGGGGUCGCGGCUGAUUAGUUAGUUGGUGAGGUAACGGCUCACCAAGACAAAGAUCAGUAUCCGGCCUGAGAGGGCGCACGGACACACUGGAACUGAAACACGGUCCAGACUCCUACGGGAGGCAGCAGUGGGGAAUUUUGCGCAAUGGGGGAAACCCUGACGCAGCAACGCCGCGUGGAGGAUGAAGUCCCUUGGGACGUAAACUCCUUUCGACCGGGAAGAUACUGACGGUACCGGAUGAAGAAGCACCGGCUAACUCUGUGCCAGCAGCCGCGGUAAUACAGAGGGUGCGAGCGUUGUUCGGAAUUAUUGGGCGUAAAGGGCGCGUAGGCGGUGCGGUAAGUCACCUGUGAAAUCUCCUGGCUCAACUGGGAGCUUGCAGGCGAAACUGCCGUGCUGGAGUGUGGGAGGGGUGAGUGGAAUUCCCGGUGUAGUGGUGAAAUGCGUAGAGAUCGGGAGGAACACCCGUGGCGAAGGCGGCUCACUGGGCUGACCUUGACGCUGAGGCGCGAAGGCGUGGGGAGCGAACGGGAUUAGAUACCCCGGUAGUCCACGCAGUAAACGAUGCAGACUAGGCGUGGGGGGACUUGACCCCCUCCGUGCCGGAGCUAACGCGGUAAGUCUGCCGCCUGGGGAGUACGGCCGCAAGGCUAAAACUCAAAGGAAUUGACGGGGGCCCGCACAAGCGGCGGAGCGUGCGGUUUAAUUCGACGCAACGCGCAGAACCUUACCAGGGCUUGACAUGCACCUGCAGAGCCGCGAAAGCGGAUGUCCUUCGAGGGUGGUGCACAGGUGCUGCAUGGCUGUCGUCAGCUCGUGUCGUGAGAUGUUGGGUUAAGUCCCGCAACGAGCGCAACCCUCGCGGCCAGUUACGUGGAUGUCUGGCCGGACUGCCGGUAGCAAGCCGGAGGAAGGCGGGGAUGACGUCAAGUCAGCAUGGCCCUUACGUCCUGGGCUACACGCACGCUACAAUGGCGAGGACAAUGGGUAGCCAAACCGCAAGGUGGAGCGAAUCCUCACAAAACCUCGCCUCAGUUCAGAUUGUGGGCUGCAACUCGCCCGCAUGAAGGUGGAGUCGCUAGUAACCGCAGGUCAGCAAUACUGCGGUGAAUACGUUCCCGGGCCUUGUACACACCGCCCGUCACGUCACGAAAGCUGGCAACACCUGAAGCCGGUGGGCCAACCCGUAAGGGAGGCAGCCGUCGAGGGUGGGGCGAGUGAUUGGGACGAAGUCGUAACAAGGUAGCCGUAGCGGAAGC
rnacentral:rRNA from 1 species